AUGUUCUGCAGCGACGAGUUCACUGGAAACAGGUCAUCUCUGCUGAACCACAUGGCCCGAGAACAUUCCUUCAGCAUCGGACUCCCGGACAACAUCGUGUUCUGCAACGAGUUCCUGGACACGCUGCAGAACAAACUGGACAAGUAGGAAUCAGACACGUUCCAAUGGGUUUGAUUAUUGAUUCAUCAUCUGUUCAAUAUCAGAAACUGAUCACAUCAUGAAUGACAGCUGAUGCUCUGCAGAUGUCAGGUCAUUGUGUUAAGUUUAGAACAGAUUUAAUCAAGUGUUGUCUUCUUGUGUGUUAAUGUUGUGUUGUGCUUCCUCUGCUCAGUCUGCAGUGUUUGUACUGUGAGAAGACGUUCAGAGAUAAAACCACAUUGAAAGAUCACAUGAGGAAGAAAGCUCAUCGUCGCAUCAACGCCAGCAACAGCGAGAGCUGGGGAAGACGUGGGAGGAGGUGCAGAGCGAGGACGACCG